GUAUGAAUUCUCUCGUGUUUUUUCAGGUUUUGUGAUUGAGUGAAACUCUUUUCACAGUGUGAGCACUUGUAAGGUUUUUCUCCAGUAUGAAUUCUCUCGUGUGUUUUCAGGUUUUGUGACUGAGUGAAACUCUUUUCACAGUGUGAGCACUUGUAAGGUUUCUCUCCAGAAUGAAUUCUCUCGUGUGUUUUCAGGUGUUCUGACUGAGUGAAACUCUUUUCACAGUGUGAGCACUUGUAUGUUUUUU